rnacentral:rRNA from 1 species
GACGAACGCUGGCGGCGUGCUUAACACAUGCAAGUCGAACGGAAAGGCCCUGCUUUUGUGGGGUGCUCGAGUGGCGAACGGGUGAGUAACACGUGAGUAACCUGCCCUUGACUUUGGGAUAACUUCAGGAAACUGGGGCUAAUACCGGAUAGGAGCUCCUGCUGCAUGGUGGGGGUUGGAAAGUUUCGGCGGUUGGGGAUGGACUCGCGGCUUAUCAGCUUGUUGGUGGGGUAGUGGCUUACCAAGGCUUUGACGGGUAGCCGGCCUGAGAGGGUGACCGGCCAAAUGGGGACGGGGAUACGGCCCAGACUCCUACGGGAGGCAGCAUGGGGGAAUAUUGCACAUUGGGCGGAAGCCUGAUGCAGCAACGCGGCGUGCGGGAUGACGGCCUUCGGUUUGAAAACCGCUUUGGCCGGGGACGAGGCUGGGGUGACGGUAAUGGGUAAGGAAGCACCGGCUAACUACGU